GACAGAGGGUGCAAACGUUGUUCGGAAUUACUGGGCGUAAAGCGUGCGCAGGCGGUUAUUUAAGUCAGGUGUGAAAGCCCUGGGCUUAACCUAGGAAUUGCGCUUGAGACUGGAUAGCUUGGAGUGCGGCAGAGGGAGGUGGAAUUCCACGUGUAGCAGUGAAAUGCGUAGAGAUGUGGAGGAACACCGAUGGCGAAGGCAGCCUCCUGGGCCAGCACUGACGCUCAUGCACGAAAGCGUGGGGAGCAAACAGG
rnacentral:rRNA from 1 species